GUUCACAGGAUGGCUGGAGUGGCUCGCGGGACGGCUGGUGGAGCGGAGCAACUGGCGGAAUGGCUCGUGGUGACGGCUGCAGCAGAACCACACGGAGAGGCAGGGCAGUUGGCCUCGGAAAUGACCAAGUCUGCUGUGGAACAAGUUGCACCGAUGGAAAGCACCUGUUACCUCUCCUCUACCCUAACUUGGCAGCUACAUGAGAGGUGGAGUAUAGGAGUCGACAGGAAAUCGACCACCGAUGCAUCAAUUGCCUCCUGUUGAUCCCCCGCUCACUUAUUAGACAUGUGUCUCUGCAGACUGGAGCCAGCUGCUCAUUUCCAAACCCAGGUUAAGCAGGAUGUUUCCAAAUUGACGCUAGCUAAAGAUGACCAAAUUCAGAUGGACUGGGAUCA